GAUGAACGCUGGCGGCGUGCCUAAUACAUGCCAGUCGAGCGAACAGACGAGGAGCUUGCUCCUCUGACGUUAGCGGCGGACGGGUGAGUAACACGUGGAUAACCUACCUAUAAGACUGGGAUAACUUCGGGAAACCGGAGCUAAUACCGGAUAAUAUAUUGAACCGCAUGGUUCAAUAGUGAAAGACGGUUUUGCUGUCACUUAUAGAUGGAUCCGCGCCGCAUUAGCUAGUUGGUAAGGUAACGGCUUACCAAGGCAACGAUGCGUAGCCGACCUGAGAGGGUGAUCGGCCACACUGGAACUGAGACACGGUCCAGACUCCUACGGGAGGCAGCAGUAGGGAAUCUUCCGCAAUGGGAGAAAGCCUGACGGAGCAACGCCGCGUGAGUGAUGAAGGUCUUCGGAUCGUAAAACUCUGUUAUUAGGGAAGAACAAAUGUGUAAGUAACUAUGCACGUCUUGACGGUACCUAAUCAGAAAGCCACGGCUAACUACGUG
rnacentral:rRNA from 1 species